GUUUCAGCCGCCGCGGUAAGACGAACCGUACAAACGUUAUUCGGAAUCACUGGGCUUAAAGGGUGCGUAGGCUGUCCUGUAAGUUGGGUGUGAAAGCCCUCGGCUCAACCGAGGAAUUGCGCUCAAUACUGCAGGACUUGAGGAAGACAGAGGUGAGCGGAACUUAGGGUGGAGCGGUGAAAUGCGUUGAUAUCCUAAGGAACACCUGGGGCGAAAGCGGCUCACUGGGUCUUCUCUGACGCUGAGGCACGAAAGCUAGGGUAGCGAACGGGAUUAGAAACCCGAGUAGUCC
rnacentral:rRNA from 1 species